AGUGGCGGACGGGUGAGUAACGCGUGGGUAACCUGCCUCAUACAGGGGGAUAACAGUUAGAAAUGACUGCUAAUACCGCAUAAGACCGCAGCACCGCAUGGUGCAGGGGUAAAAACUCCGGUGGUAUGAGAUGGACCCGCGUCUGAUUAGGUAGUUGGUGGGGUAACGGCCUACCAAGCCGACGAUCAGUAGCCGACCUGAGAGGGUGACCGGCCACAUUGGGACUGAGACACGGCCCAA
rnacentral:rRNA from 1 species